GUCACUUCAUGAGACCAACUGACAAAUAUUAGAUAAUCCUACCUUUCACACAGGAUCUCUGAUUUCUUAGAAUAUUACAAUCUAUAAUUGAUAUAUCUGAGAAAUAAUGUUAACUCGAUUUUUCAAUUAUAGUUCUCCAGCAGUUUGAAGGAGGAUGGAAAAUAAAUUCAUGCCUAAUACAACAAAUUGAAGAGUUAUUACAAAAUAUUUAAUGGAACAAUUGGCUAUUUUCCAAAGACUGUCCGUUAUUUUACCUAGUUACUAAGUAGCAUAUUAUUAACCUGAUUAUGAUAUUAAAUGAAUGUGAUUUAGCUAA